GACGAACGCUGGCGGCGUGCUUAACACAUGCAAGUCGAACGGAAAGGCCUCUUUCGGGGGGUACUCGAGUGGCGAACGGGUGAGUAACACGUGAGUAACCUGCCCUUGACUUUGGGAUAACUUCAGUAAACUGGGGCUAAUACCGGAUAGGAGCUCCUGCUGCAUGGUGGGGGUUGGAAAGUUUCGGCGGUUGGGGAUGGACUCGCGGCUUAUCAGCUUGUUGGUGGGGUAGUGGCUUACCAAGGCUUUGCCGGGUAGCCGGCCUGUGAGGGUGACCGGCGACAUUGGGACUGAGAUACGGCCCAGACUCCGACGGGAGGCAGCAGGGGGGAAUAUUGCACAAUGGGUGGAAGCCUGAUGCAGCAACGCCGUGUGCGGGAUGACGGCCUUCGGGUUGUAAACCGCUUUCGCUCAUGACGAAGCUUUGUGUGACGGUAGUGGGUAAAGAAGCACCGGCUAACUACGUG
rnacentral:rRNA from 1 species